rnacentral:tRNA from 1 species
CGGGGCAUAGCGCAGCCUGGUAGCGCACCUGUUUUGGGAACAGGGGGUCGCAGGUUCAAAUCCUGCUGCCCCGACCA